UGACUUCUAGAUCCGGCUUGAACGCCAAUCCACAACAAAAUAAAUGGCAUGAGUCAUGGCGGGGCUUUUGAAACCAAUUCGUCACUCUGAGGUAAAUGAAAAAAAAGAGUAAGCACUCCAAAGUAGAUGAGUUGAAAUGCGCGACGAUGUCUGGUGUGUCUUCGAUUUAUUUGGGUCUGAUAAGUCAUGAUCUAAUGAAUUGACCUCACAUGAAACACUCUAAGCGUUCUCUCAUGAAGUCACCUUAAUUGUUAAAUUUGUUAUUAUCACUAGUAGCGGGCGAUCCAAUACUAAAACGAGCCGACCCCAAACCUGAUUUGAUAUAGACGAUUGGGACUGAUGCGAAAAACAAUUCCUGAAAACAACGUACUCCCUCAAGGACCCUACUCACACACCCAUUCAACACAUCCGUAUGUUCGCACAUGCCACGUAUUCGGACGGAAUGAAUACGACUAAUACUACGAAGAAACUAGGAACCAAGAUUUGAUUGUCAUCGUAUUCCCUGCAUGGAACUUUGAGACCAAUGCCCGUUCCAUUUAUUCCUGAUCUACCAAAGUCAUCCCAAUCUUUUGGAUCUUCAAGGCGUCUUCGAACGAUCCAUUAGUCAAGAAUGAAAAAAACCGUCGCUCGCAUUUUUGCAUUUCAUGUAUUCCGGAACAGGUUUUGCCCAUCAAUCUGCAUCCAGCUCAGAACUCAUCAAUGAAGAAAUAAAAUCAAAUACUAGAUAAGAA